UACGAAGGUGGCAAGCGUUGUUCGGAUUUACUGGGCGUACAGGGAGCGUAGGCGGUUCGGUAAGCCUCUGUGAAAUCUCCAGGCUUAAACCUGGGAACAGUCGGAGGGGACUGCUGGGCUAGAGGACGGGAGAGGAGCGGCGGGAAUUCCCGGUGUUAGCGGUGAAAUGCGUAGAGAUCGGGAGGAAGGCCGGUGGCGAAGGCGGCGCUCUGGAACGUUUCGUGACGCUGAGGCUCGAAAGCGUGGGGGAGCAAACAGG
rnacentral:rRNA from 1 species